rnacentral:rRNA from 1 species
GGAGGUGGUGGGUUGCCUCCUACAUAGCAAGUCGAGCGAACAGAUAAGGAGCUUGCUCCUUUGACGUUAGCGGCGGACGGGUGAGUAACACGUGGGUAACCUACCUAUAAGACUGGGAUAACUUCGGGAAACCGGAGCUAAUACCGGAUAACAUUUGGAACCGCAUGGUUCUAAAGUGAAAGAUGGUUUUGCUAUCACUUAUAGAUGGACCCGCGCCGUAUUAGCUAGUUGGUAAGGUAACGGCUUACCAAGGCGACGAUACGUAGCCGACCUGAGAGGGUGAUCGGCCACACUGGAACUGAGACACGGUCCAGACUCCUACGGGAGGCAGCAGUAGGGAAUCUUCCGCAAUGGGCGAAAGCCUGACGGAGCAACGCCGCGUGAGUGAUGAAGGGUUUCGGCUCGUAAAACUCUGUUAUUAGGGAAGAACAAAUGUGUAAGUAACUGUGCACGUCUUGACGGUACCUAAUCAGAAAGCCACGGCUAACUACGUGCCAGCAGCCGCGGUAAUACGUAGGUGGCAAGCGUUAUCCGGAAUUAUUGGGCGUAAAGCGCGCGUAGGCGGUUUCUUAAGUCUGAUGUGAAAGCCCACGGCUCAACCGUGGAGGGUCAUUGGAAACUGGGAAACUUGAGUGCAGAAGAGGAAAGUGGAAUUCCAUGUGUAGCGGUGAAAUGCGCAGAGAUAUGGAGGAACACCAGUGGCGAAGGCGACUUUCUGGUCUGUAACUGACGCUGAUGUGCGAAAGCGUGGGGAUCAAACAGGAUUAGAUACCCUGGUAGUCCACGCCGUAAACGAUGAG